rnacentral:rRNA from 1 species
AGUGAACGCUGGCGGCAGGCCUAAUACAUGCAAGUCGAACGGAAGGACAGGAAGCUUUCGCUCCUACGGGUGGCGGGGGACGGGUGGGUGACAAAUACAUCGGCAUCCACUUAUUCGGGGAGGAUAACGGAGGAAAACAGAUGCUAAUACCGCAUACAAUCAACGGGAGAAAGCAGGGGAGAUACGCACCUUUCCCGUCUGAAUGAGACGAAGUCGCAUUACCUAGUUGGUGAGGUAAAGGCACACCAAGGCGACGAUCCGUAGCGGAUCUGAGAGGAUGAUCGGCCACACUGGAACUGAGACACGGUCCAGACUCCUACGGGAGGCAGCAGUGGGGAAUCUUCGGCAAUGGGCGCAAGCCUGACCGAGCAAUGCCGCGUGAGUGAUGAAGGCCUUCGGAUCGUAAAGCCCUUUUGUUAGGGAAGAAAAAAUGUGGAUUAAUCCCCGCCUGUUUUGACGGUACCCAAUGAGAAAGCCCCGGCUAACUUCGUG